rnacentral:rRNA from 1 species
GAUCAUGGCUCAGGAUGAACGCUGGCGGCGUGCUUAACACAUGCAAGUCGAACGAAGAUGCCAUAGUAGAAGCAAUUAGCUUGCUAAAGGUGGACACAGUGGGAUCUUAGUGGCGGACGGGUGAGUAACGCGUGGGUAACCUGCCGUAUACAGGGGGAUAACACCUGGAAACAGGUGCUAAUACCGCAUAAGCGCACGAUGUCGCAUGACGUUGUGUGAAAAGCCGAGACGGUA